UGGAGCUAAAUGGGGGAUUUAAUGCGAAACUGUGAUUCAGCAAUUGAGAAAGGCUGGGAAAUUUAAUUUUUAUGCAUUCGAUUGUGGGCUGUAUGACUUUCUGAAGCUUUGGUUCAACCCAUUCGAUUUAUUUAGUAAUUAGACUCCGACGGAAAAAAUACUACCGUUUAUUUAAAGUAAAGCCAAUUAGUUUAGUUUGUCAAUGUCAUGGAGCCGUUGUCUAAUAGGAUUUGAUUUUGCGGUUGAAAGUAUAAUUUUGAUUAAUCUCGAAAAAACGUGUUUAUACAUAUAUUUAAAUUUGCAUCUAAUGCUCCCACGAUAAAUGCUUAUCGAUUGAUCAAAAAAUUGGCACUGAAGCUUUUUUUACAACCGAAGAAAAGGAUUUUUUAUACCCGUUACUCAUACAAGAUCGACUCUGCUAGUCAUCCUUCUUAAUACUUUUAUGUUACAUACUUUUUAAAGAACACUAUAUUCUGUAUAUCAUUUUUACUAUACUAUACUCUACGAGUAGUCUCUUUUUAAAAGUAAAACUGAUACCGCGCAAUAAAUGUUUAAAAUGCGUAUUUGUGUCAGGAAUUUUAAAAUUUAAUAGAAUAGCUAAAAAAGAUUUGAUUGCUUUCCUAUCCUAUCCAAUAUAUCAAAUUAUAUAAGCCAGUUAAAUUGAAUGGCACUUGUGUUUAUUAUGCCAGAAGUUCAAAUGCAGUUUGAGUUGUUAGAAAAAUCUUUUCUUCUACUGAGAAGACUAUGAAAAUCCCAAAUCCUUUUUCAAUUGCUAUCAAAAACGGGUUGUUGUUUGUGAUUUUUUGUUUUGAUUCGAGUGGCUGCAAUUUACAGGUUAUUGUUUUGGUUCUUUCGUGGCAACACUUUUGCUUUUUCACUUGCACUUUUGCCGUUUGUGUGGCUGGUGUUGUUGCUCGUGGGCUCUGGUUUAUCAAUGGGCGAUGUUUGCGAUGACGACGCAUGCAACAGAGGAAAUCAAAAUCGGCACGGAACCAAAAGCGCUAACGCAAGAACGGCACGCAAAUCAUUUUGCGGCACGAUCGACGUCGACGUCGGCAGAUCCGCCGGCAGCGCAGCCGGCAGAGCAACCGGAGGCGAGUUGUCAAAGUGACAUUUUUCAGGCACGCACACACACACGCACGCGUGGGUGUGUUGGAAUAGUAAAAAAGAGAGAAGUGAAUGACCGCCGGCGGUUUGCAAUUCGCACACGUGACUCCACGAAGCCUUUGCAGGACAUCCAGUUACAGGAUGACACUCACGCACACACACACACGCACGCACCUUUUAGCGGGAUUCUGGCGACGGCGGAACAACCGUUAGGAGGGAGCAGCGACUGCACGCGAGCGCCAGAAACGAGUGAAUGAGCGAAUGAACAACAGUGCCAAAAAAACGGACUGGGACAGACGGAACACAGGCAUUUGAAACGAGGCACAAAGGCGAUGGAGCGCGCUCUCUCACUCGCACUCAGCGGGGAGACGGGGGAGCUCAAAGUCGCUAUCUCUCACUCGCUCUCUUUCAAACGUGACUCUACUGCGCUGCGGCCACGUAAACGCUUUGAGAUUCCAACAAGAACUGAGCUGGCGCCACGAAACGAAUGGAAAAACCAGUCCUGGCGGAACGCACUGGCAAUGGAACACGCGGACGGCGUGUUUGGGCCACUUCCAGUCGUCCUGGCAACGAUCGAUCGCCAAGCGACGCGGUCGCGUGGGAGUGAGACAGAGCGAACGUUGUUCCACUGCCAACCGUUCCGACGUCGCCAUACGUGCGACUGGAAGGGAGCGACCAACCAAGGCAGUCUUGGAAGUGCUGUCGCUAUCUCAUUCGCACCCUCUAAUUGCGCUCAAGCCGCUGAGAGGGCGUGUUCGCACACACAUACUUACACUCACAGCCCAGUAGCGCCGACUCUUUCCAGCGCACUGCCAACUGGAAAUUCGGGGCACAUCGCUCAUCUCUUAAUUAAUUAGGCGGUAAUUAAGAGCUAUCAGUGCUAUCGCUCAAUGGCAUCUAUUCGCCUCACUCUUCUUCUAUUUCGAACUUAUCUGGGCCGGAUUUUACUUCGUUUUGCCACUGAAAUGCAAAUUUUAUUUGGUGUGACCAAAGCCAUUAAGGCCAUAAACAUGAGCACUCACUUCGCGCUUAUCGCGGAUGAUUUAUUCACAUGUGCCACCUGACAACCGCAAAAGAGCAAGGAGAACGAAAUGCAUACCGCUGCCCAGAACAGAACCAGAAAUCAUAUUCGCACACCUAGACAGGCCAAAUGUCCGUGUCCAAGAACCCGAUUGGCAGUGUACAAAGCCCCUUUAUCCCACGGCCCAUAUGCUGCGUCCGCCUUUAACCGCAUGUCACAGAUGGUGAUGCCUGCUCGCACUCCUCAAAGGCACAGUUUGCGCUCUUAAAUAACUUUUUAAACACUUAUUUCACACAUUUUGACAAUCUCUGUAUACAAACUCUAGAAUAUAUUUUGAUUGAAAUGAGUACAGUAAGCCACUGAAAUGAAUAUAAUAAA